AUCAAAAAUAAGGGAGGUGGUGAAUAGAGUUCAGUGGGAUAGGUUAAAAAAAAUCAUAAAUGAGAGCUUUAGUUAAGAAGAAGAUAAUGAGAAGAUGAAAACCCAGAUGCCAAGGCAACGAGACAACAGUGUUGGGCACAGGAGACAACUGCCAGGUUAAUUAGACAACUGGAGUAGCUAUAAAUCCACCAGUGACAUGAUCUGUCACAACGUGCAAAGACAGCAUUUUCUGGAUAAUUUGCUCAUGGAGUCAUUGGUCUCAUGGACAAUUUACCCAGAGACGAUGACUAACACAAAUAGAAAUAGGUACAUGCAAAGAAGCAGGAUGUGAAAAAGGAAGAAGACAAGCCAUGCAAGGCAAAUGGCUACACUCACAUUUCAUGACACAUCAAGGUGGAUGUCUCACCAUAAUAAGCAGUCAGAAUGGCUGUCAUCAAGAAAAUAAGUCACAAGAAAUGUUGGUGAUGCUAUAGAGAAAGAAGACUCUCAGCAUAGCUGGUAGAAAUAUAAACUGCAGUCACUAUGGAAGUUGUGUAGAAGUUCUUCGAAAAAACGAAAAACAGUACUACCAUAUGAUCCAGCUAUACCACUUGGGUAAAUACCCAAAG